GACGAACGCUGGCGGCGUGCUUAACACAUGCAAGUCGAACGCAGAAGCCCUGCUUUCCUCUUCCUCAAGUGUCGCACGGGUGUGUAUCACGUGUGUGAUCUGCCCUUCAUUUCGGGGUAAGACUGUGAAAAUGGGUCGAUUACCGGGCAUGAGCCCUUUUAUGUGAUGUUGUCUGAUAGUAUGUUCGGUGUAGGAUGCUCCCGCGGCCUAUCAGCUUGUUUGUGGGGGAAUGGCCUACCAAGGCGGCGACGGGUGGCCGUCCUGAGAGGGUGGACGGCCACAUUAGGACUAAGGGAGGGCCCAGACGCCUACGGGAGGCAGCAGUGGGGAAUAUUGCACAAUGGGCGCAAGCCUGAUGCAGCGACGCCGCGUGGGGGAUGACCGCCUUCGGGUGAAAAACGACUGUCGCUAGGGAAGAAGCUUUUUGUGACGGUACCUAGAUAAGAAGCACCGGCUAACUACGUG
rnacentral:rRNA from 1 species